rnacentral:rRNA from 1 species
CACUCCUACGGGAGGCAGCAGUAGGGAAUCUUCCACAAUGGGUGCAAACCUGAUGGAGCAAUGCCGCGUGAGUGAAGAAGGUCUUCGGAUCGUAAAGCUCUGUUGUUAGAGAAGAACACGUGCUAGGUAACUACUAGCGCCUUGACGGUAUCUAACCAGAAAGUCACGGCUAACUACGUGCCAGCAGCCGCGGUAAUACGUAGGUGACAAGCGUUGUCCGGAUUUAUUGGGCGUAAAGGGAGCGCAGGCGGUCUGUUUAGUCUAAUGUGAAAGCCCACGGCUUAACCGUGGAACGGCAUUGGAAACUGACAGACUUGAAUGUAGAAGAGGAAAAUGGAAUUCCAAGUGUAGCGGUGGAAUGCGUAGAUAUUUGGAGGAACACCAGUGGCGAAGGCGAUUUUCUGGUCUAACAUUGACGCUGAGGCUCGAAAGCGUGGGGAGCGAACAGGAUUAGAAACCCUUGUAGUCCC